UACGUAGGCAGCGAGCGUUGUUCGGAGUUACUGGGCGUAAAGCGUGCGUAGGCGGUGUUCCAAGUCUGUUGUGAAAUCUCCCGGCUUAACUGGGAGGGUGCGGCGGAAACUGGAACGCUGGAGUAUGGGAGAGGUAAGCGGAAUUCCCGGUGUAGCGGUGAAAUGCGUAGAUAUUCGGAAGAACACCAGUGGCGAAGGCGACUGACUGGACAAGUAUUGACGCUGAGGUGCGAAAGCGUGGGGAGCAAACAGG
rnacentral:rRNA from 1 species